GACAGAGGUGCCGAGCGUUAGGCGGAAUCACUGGGCUUAAAGCGUGUGUAGGCGGAUCGUUAAGUACCUUGUGAAAUCCCCCGGCUCAACCGGGGAACUGCUGGGUAUACUGGCGAUCUUGAGCAAUCUAGGGGCAGAUGGAACAAGUGGUGGAGCGGUGAAAUGCGUAGAUAUCACUUGGAACGCCAAAGGCGAAGACAGUCUGCUGGGGAUUUGCUGACGCUGAGACACGAAAGCCAGGGGAGCGAACGGG
rnacentral:rRNA from 1 species